GGUUCUAUAGUGUAGCGGUUAGCAUAUCUGCUUUACAUGCAGAAGGUCCUAGGUUCGUGCUCCAGUGGAGGCA
rnacentral:tRNA from 1 species